rnacentral:lncRNA from 1 species
GGGCCACAAUGGGAGUGUUUUUCUGUUCCUUUGCAGCUGGGUCCCACCCCUAAAUUCACCCUGGUGUGGGCAUUCCUGUAGUGCCAGGCAGAAUGGAGGCCCUGCAGGAGACUGAGGAAGUGGAGCAAACACCAGAAGACGUGAUCUUCAGUGAUUUCCUCGAUGACCUGGAGGCAGAUGUAGCUGUGGAGGAAGCCUCUGUCACAAGUGAUGAAUCUACACUCACCUGUGCCCUGACCGCAAGCCGCUCUUCAUCCACCCGCUCAACGAGUGUGGUGUGCAGAAGUUUGUGAGCACAACAGUGAGGCCAACCCUGCUGCCUUACCCAGACAUGUACUACUGGUCAGGCUGUGCCAGCUUUGUCUGUGACUACCUCAUCAUGGAGCCCCUCAAGUGCCCAAUCACACCG